UACGGAGGGGGCAAGCGUUGUUCGGAUUUACUGGGCGUAAAGGGUCCGUAGGUGGUUGCAUAAGUCUGGUGUGAAAUCUUCGCCGCUUAACGGGAAGAAGCCACUGGAAACUGCGUAACUUGAGUAUGGUAGAGGCAAGCGGAAUUCCUGGUGUAGCGGUGGAAUGUGUAGAUAUCAGGAAGAACACCCGUGGCGAAGGCGGCUCUCUGGAACGCAACUGACGCUGAGACGCGAAAAGCGUGGGGAGCAAACAGG
rnacentral:rRNA from 1 species